ACCUGUGGCAGCAGAUAAAGAAUCUCUGCUCUCUGAUUUCAGAAGCUAAACAAGGUCAGGCCUGGUUAGUACUUGGAUGGGAGACCACCUGGGAAGACCAGGUGUUAUAGGUG
rnacentral:rRNA from 1 species